rnacentral:rRNA from 1 species
UACGUAGGGGGCGAGCGUUAUCCGGAUUUACUGGGCGUAAAGCGCGUUAAGGCGGUUGGCAAAGUUGGUUGUGAAAUCUCAGGGCUCAACCCUGAAAUUGCGACCAAUACUGGUCGACUAGAGUGCAAGAGAGGAAGGUGGAAUUCCCGGUGUAGUAGUGAAAUGCGUAGAUAUCGGGAGGAACACCAGUGGCGAAGGCGGCCUUCUGGCUUGUAACUGACGCUGUAGCGCGAAAGCGUGGGGAGCGAACCGG